rnacentral:snRNA from 1 species
GGAUGUGAGGGCGAUCUGGCUGCGACAUCUGUCACCCCAUUGAUCGCCAGGGUUGAUUCGGCUGAUCUGGUUGGCUAGGCGGGUGUCCCCUUCCUCCCUCACCGCUCCAUGUGCGUCCCUCCCGAAGCUGCGCGCUAGGUCGAAGAGGACGGCCUUCCCUGAAUAGAGACGGACCGGUCUUCGGUCGAGGGUAUACAAGUAGCUGAGCUCCCCUGCUAGAACCUCCUCCAAACAAGCUCUCAAAAUGGAAACUGCAGUACUUUCUUUUAUAUAUAUUUUUCCCCUUUUUAUUGCCCUUGUUUUUUAUUGUUGUAGUUAUUA